AUUGAACGCUGGCGGCAUGCCUUACACAUGCAAGUCGAACGGCAGCGCGGGAGCAAUCCUGGCGGCGAGUGGCGAACGGGUGAGUAAUACAUCGGAACGUGCCCAAUCGAGGGGGAUAACGCAGCGAAAGCUGUGCUAAUACCGCAUCCGAUCUACGGAUGAAAGCCGGGGAUCGCAAGACCUUGCGCGAAUGGAGCGGCCGAAGGCAGAUUAGCUAGUUGGUGAGGUAAAGGCUCACCAAGCCUUCGAUCUGUAGCUGAUCUGAGAGGACGACCAGCCACACUGGGACUGAGACACGGCCCAGACUCCUACGGGAGGCAGCAGUGGGGAAUUUUGGACAAUGGGCGAAAGCCUGAUCCAGCCAUGCCGCGUGCAGGAUGAAGGCCUUCGGGUUGUAAACUGCUUUUGUACGGAACGAAACGGUCUUUUCUAAUAAAGAAGGCUAAUGACGGUACCGUAAGAAUAAGCACCGGCUAACUACGUG
rnacentral:rRNA from 1 species